CCAGACUCCUACGGGAGGCAGCAGUGGGGAAUAUUGGGCAAUGGAGGAAACUCUUACCCAGCAAUGCCGCGUGAAUGAAGAAGGUCUUCGGAUUGUAAAGUUCUUUCAUUGGGGACGAAAAAAAUGACGGUACCCAAGGAAUAAGCCCCGGCUAACUACGUGCCAGCAGCCGCGGUAAUACGUAGGGGGCGAGCGUUGUUCGGAAUGACUGGGGGUAAAGGGUGCGUAGGCGGUGUAGCAAGUUAGAAGUGAAAUACCUAGAGCUUAACUCAGGUGCUGCUUCUAAAACUGCUAUACUUGAGUGCAGUAGAGGAAAGUGGAAUUCCUAGUGUAGCGGUGGAAUGCGUAGAUAUUAGGAGGAACAUCAGUGGCGAAGGCGACUAUCUGGCACAUAACUGACGCUGAGGAGCGAAAGCGUGGGUAGCAAACAGGAUUAGAUACCCCCGUAUU
rnacentral:rRNA from 1 species